GGAUCCAGACUUUGAUCCUGGCUCAGGACGAACGCUGGCGGCGCGCCUAACACAUGCAAGUCGAGCGGAGACAGUGAGUAGCUUGCUACGAGCUGUUUUAGCGGCGGACGGGUGAGUAACGCGUGAGCAACCUUUCCCAGACAGGGGAAUAACACACCGAAAGGUGUACUAAUACCGCAUAAGACCACGGGAUCACAUGGUUCUGAGGUAAAAGAUUUAUCGGUUUGGGGUGGGCUCGCGUCCGAUUAGGUAGUUGGUGAGGUAACGGCCCACCAAGCCGACGAUCGGUAGCCGACCUGAGAGGGUGAUCGGCCACAUUGGGACUGAGACACGGCCCAAACUCCUACGGGAGGCAGCAGUGGGGAAUAUUGGGCAAUGGGGGGAACCCUGACCCAGCAACGCCGCGUGGAGGAAGAAGGUUUUCGGAUCGUAAACUCCUGUCCUUGGAGACGAGUAGAAGACGGUAUCCAAGGAGGAAGCCCCGGCUAACUACGUGCCAGCAGCCGCGGUAAUACGUAGGGGGCAAGCGUUGUCCGGAAUAAUUGGGCGUAAAGGGCGCGUAGGCGGCUCGGUAAGUCUGGAGUGAAAGUCCUGCUUUUAAGGUGGGAAUUGCUUUGGAUACUGUCGGGCUUGAGUGCAGGAGAGGUUAGUGGAAUUCCCAGUGUAGCGGUGAAAUGCGUAGAGAUUGGGAGGAACACCAGUGGCGAAGGCGACUAACUGGACUGUAACUGACGCUGAGGCGCGAAAGUGUGGGGAGCAAACAGGAUUAGAUACCCUGGUAGUCCACACUGUAAACGAUGAAUGCUAGGUGUAGGGGGUAUCGACCCCUUCUGUGCCGCAGUUAACACAAUAAGCAUUCCGCCUGGGGAGUACGGCCGCAAGG
rnacentral:rRNA from 1 species